UACAGCCACAUCACGUUGAAACAUUGGCUCCCGUACGAUCAGUGAGGUUAAGCAACGUCGAGCUUGGUAAGUACCAGAAUGGGUGACCGCUUGGGAAUAACAAGUGCUGUAG